AACGCCUCCUUACAACAUUCUGCAAAAUAAUUCCUCAACAAAAGAUCAAUCCCUGUCACGUGAUCCCAGACGCCAAGAGUUUACUCCAGAAGCUUCCUUUCAACUGGUCACCAGCUCCUUAUCCACUGAAAUCCUACCCAUCCUCCACGUGCAUUAUUAUGGGCUUUGUGUGGCAUGAAAGGGACCUCUGCUAAACUACUUUAUUAAGAAAAUAUUAGUCUUUUACUCAUGGACAACAAGGUGCAUGGUUUUCUUACAGUUC
rnacentral:lncRNA from 10 species